rnacentral:piRNA from 1 species
UGCAAGGAUCUGCCUCCCCACUUGC